rnacentral:lncRNA from 1 species
AAAUGUAUGUAUUUCCUCUCUCUAAAAAUGUAUGUGCUUUCUCUGUCUGUGAGAAAGAAAGGAGAUAGAAUUUAGUGAGGUAUAUUUUCAGUGGGGAGUUUAGAGAUGACAAUGGAGGGAGGGAGUGGGUGAGUGAGAGUGUGUGGUAAUAUAUAUGAAAAUGGACAAAUAAUGCACCUGAAGAUGGGGAUUAAUUACGGUGGCAGUUGAUAUGACCAUGCAG